AAAAACAAACAAACAAACAACAACAAACCUGGAGGUGAUGGGUGCACUAAAAUCUCAGUUAAUCACUGUACAAUUCAUCCGUGUAACCAAAAACUAUUUGUACCGUAAAAGCUAUUGAAAUAAAAAAGAAAGAAGUGGGAUCUGAAGCAGGAUCACUGUUGUAAAGAAUGGAUGAUUCUUAGAUCUGGUGUACAAUACUUCAUUGAGCUCUUUGAGCUCUCCACUUCCAUGGCUCAUCUUUUCUGCACUGGUGAGUCUUCUCUCAGGCUGAGUCUCUCUCUUUUUGAUAGAAGCUUUUGACUUUAUUUGGGAUUUGGUUUGGUUAUGAGGCCACUCUAUAUAAAGGACCUUAUAUAUUCCUCUUGGGAUGGUAAAAAAAACUUUCUAUCUUUUCUGGCAAAUUCUUUAUCCCUUUGGUUUGAGUACUCUGGUUUUUACAGAACUUAUAUUCUAUCUGUGGGUAUGUCUUUUCUGGUAAAUUUACUUGUGGUUCUUUCUCUGUGCCUAAUUUAAUAUUUCGUUUGAUCUGUACAAUUGAGUUAAAAUUUUUCUGAACAUUAAUCUUGGUUUCAUUUUGGUCUGGAUAUUUAAGUGAUUUGGCUCUUUCCCUUGCUUGUUUCUAAAAAUCUUUCAAGAGCAAAAAUAAACACACUAAAUGGUAGAUACAAGAUGGCUAAUUAAAAGCCGCUAAGACUAUCACCACAAUCUAAAAUACCAGUCCAAGCUCCUGAUAUUCUCUGACAGGAUUUAUAAGAUAGUCUUUGCUCUUAAGAGAUUACUAAGAAGUGGAAUGGCAAUCUCAAACAUUAAGUCAUGCCAAGGUUUUCUGAGACACUGGCCAGCUAUAUUAUUAUCCAUUCUCUUGCACAUUUAAAAACUGAUGUGCAAAUUGCAUCAAGGAAAAUGUAGAGCUCAGUUUAUCAUUAUUUGAACCUAAAAAAUCUACAACUGUAGUUAACACGUAGAGCCUACUAAGUUUUUUGUUUAUCUCUGUCUCUCUUUUUUGCCUACCUUGAAUCUGCUGACCUUUCUUCUGGUGUUGAAAUAAAACUCACUGCUUAUGAUAUUCCAGCCAAAAAAAGAGAGGGGGUCCCGAUCAGCUUUUGAGCAUGUUCUGAUGUUCUGAAACAAAAGAUGUUCCAGGAUCACCUUGUGCUUCCCUUGACCCAGCCCUGGAAUCAACCAUUUCUCCGUGGGAUCCUGCUUUUGUCUUUUGACUAUGGUGUUUAGACAUGGAAGCCAGGGUGCAGGGUGACGCACCUACAUGGAAUGAUGAGCUGUGGAGUGUGUUUAGGACAGACUCCCACCCAAUGCAGAAAUAUUUUAAAUGGAUUCAUUUUUCAGAUGUGCCUUGCUUCCUCUUUGCCUUCUGCCAUGAUUGUA
rnacentral:lncRNA from 1 species